AGCCACGACCUCGGACGGUUUGCCACUGUGGCCAGUGUUUUAUUGAUGCUUCUGAGGCCAUAGAGCACGCACGGGGAAGUUCUGAGCACACGGAGGACAAGCCAGGGCGGUGCUGUGUGGCCGCAGUCAACCCUAAGUAGGGGUCCGAGUGGGGGACGGUCGCUAACACCUCGAUUCCUCAUGUCUGUGUUUCUGCAGCUUGGAGCUUGGAGAGUGUGUGUGAGAGCGACCUCGCUGACAGCCACUCGCAGAAAGUGAUCGAGGUAAGAACAGCUCUCAGGUAGGAGCCAGUGGGAGAGGGUUCCCGGGACACUUGGUUAGGCCUGCUGCUUGGAGGGUGGGGCGGGUGAGUGUGCAAUUGCAAAAGAGAAAGAAAUUGGUGUAAAGAUGUUCGUCGCCUAUGUUCCUAAGGAGGGGGAGCAGGUAUGAGAUGCCCGAAUGUUGGCAUCUGUGCUCACGUUGUGUUGGCGGGCCUCAGUCCCUGGAGCAGAGGGAAGGCCUGGGCACCUGGAGGAAAAACCCGGGUGAUGCUGUGUGACCCGCCGUCACCUCGGGGAAGCCGGGGAAACGGGAGGGCCACUCCUUCUCACGCCUCGCUUCCCCGCGGUGUGUUUCUACAGACUCGGUGGCGGAGCGCACCGACUGCCGCCAGGAUGAGGAGGCUGCAGGAACUCACGACGACGAUGUUGUGGAGGCCGGUGGGAGUGAGAAGACUGAGGCAAAGCCCCGGGCUGGGGGACAUGAGGACGAGGCGGCCCCAGUACCUGAGGUGGAGGUGGAGGAGGAGGCGGGCCAGCCCCGUGAAAAUGGCCAGGAGGAGUCCUUAGCCAUCGCCUGGGCUGAGCCGGAAGACGAGCCUGGCCCCAAGGUAAGCUCACCUUUCUUGAUGUGAGGUUGGAAAAGGUGCCUCCUUUCUUCUUGGAUGUACCUCCUUCAGAAAUGGAAAUCUGAGAAAGUCCACUGUAGAUGAUAUAUGCAGAUUGCUGUGCGGAGGACUGUUGAGUCCAAGUUUGGUACCAAGCAGUAGCUCCUUCCCCGGGGCAUUUGCAAAAGGGACCGCAUCAGUUCCCAAGUGUGCAGUAGGGAGCAUAUGUCUUUGAAGAAGCCGGAAUGUUGUUUUGUCUUGUUUGUCUUUUUUUGCCUUUUCUAGGCCCCUCCCGCGGCAUAUGGAGAUGAGGUUCCCAGGCUAGGGUCUGAUCGGAGCUGUAGCCACCGGCCUACGCCAGAGCCACAGCAACGUGGGAUCCGAGCCUCGUCUGCCACCUACACCACAGCUCAGGGCAGCGCCGGAUACUUCACCCACUGAGCAAGGCCAGGGAUCGAACCCGCAACCUCAUGGUUCUUGGUCCGAUUCGUUAACCACUGUGCCACGAUGGGAAGCCAAAGAAGCCUGAAUGUUUGUUAAAUGUACGAGGACUUGGGAGAUCUUCCAUGAAAAGCUGGCGCCUUUUCCAAAGGGGUCUUCGCCGUGUUCUUUUGGGGAAACGGACUCAACGCUGCCUUCUGUCUGCGUGCCUGCGUCCCCAACGGCAGGAAGACCUGUGGCCGCAGUGCAGAGGAUGCUGUGACACUCACCGUGUUUUCUCUUGUCUCAUCACAGGUGGACGGGCGGACGAUGAAAUCUGUGAGUAUUCUGGAGCCCGGCUCUGCUGAGGAGAAGUCCAGGUGUUGAGGAAAUGGGGGGGGGGCCCGCGAGGGAGGCGGGGUGGGGGGGCUCUCCUGCUCCUUUGGUUGCAGAGACACCCUGAUUCUGGGUUCCUCUGGGAAUGAGGGUGAAGGAUGGGGUGAAAGAGACGACUUCCCAAGAAAGGGCCACCCCAGUUCUAG
ensembl:lncRNA